AUUCCAGCUCCAGAAGCGUAUGCUAAAGUUGUUGCAGUUAAAAAGCUCGUAGUUGAAUUUCUGGUAGGGUUGACCUGGCGUUUGGAUGAAUGUCCAUUUAGCUGUGCAUCGGCCCAGCCAUCCUCCCCUUUUCGGAAGGGGUCGUUCACAGUAAUCAAAUCAGAGUGUUCAAAGCAGGUCGUAGACCGGAAUGUUUAUUAUGGGAUGAUAAGAUAGGACUUGGGUGCUAUUUUGUUGGUUUGCACACUUGAGUAAUGAUUAAAAGGAACAGGUGGAGAUAUUCGUAUUUAGGAGCUAGAGGUGAAAUUCUUGGAUUUCCGAAAGACGAACUACUGCGAAGGCAUUUAUCAAAAAUGUUUUCAUCG
rnacentral:rRNA from 1 species